CUUUUUCAAAUAAGAAAUAUCAGAAGUUCAACAUCUUUUAAGUACUGUAGUACCUUGUUUGUUUGCAGAGAUGGGAGAUGAGUAACCAAACCCUAGACUCUUCUCAACUGAUAUCACCUUCAUCUCUCUCAAUAAAUCCACUAGUUUCUAUCUUCAUCACCACUCUUAACUCAUCUCGCAAUCUCUUUCUAAUCAUCUAAGCUUCUUUUAGAAAAUUCAUCAUCUUCAGGGGGAAAGAAAUAAGGAGAGAAAAGAAGAUUAAAGUUUUGUGAAGGUUUCAUCUGCUGCAGUUAAGGUGAUUGGUUUGUCAAAAAGAGCAACUGAGGAAGAUCAUUAUCAGAUCCUGGUCUUUUCUUGUCCAAUCUCUAAUGGUAACCAAAAGGAAGUUUGUUACUGUGUAUGGUGGGGAUAGCUUUACCAUAACCACCGAUGAGCAAAAACACGCCGUUCCUUACCGAAAUAAUCAAUUUCAUACUUUUAAUGCUGUAAAUGGAAGAGGUCAUAGAGUUGUAGAUAUUUUACUUGUCAAUGGUUCGGCAGCUAAUACCCUUAGUCUUCUGGAAGUUGCUGGCGGUAAUGUGCUUAACAGCAGGGGAUUUGUUUGGGAUGGAGACACAAUGUAUCUUAUAAAAGAAGGUUAUGAUAUGAACUUGUCAGAGCUAAGAAUUUAUUUAGAGGGAUCAUUCGGCGCUGGCGUAGUCCCACCGCUAACAAGGCACAAUAAGUUACUGAGGCUUUCCACAAUAGCCGAAAAUGCAUUAAGCAGUCAAAGAGUUACAACAUUUAUUACGAACAGGGGAGAUUUCUCCUCUUUAGGCCGGAAAGUUGUCACGAAUGUAACUGCUGGUUUGACCACUUAUACAGAAGAGGGUUUUAGAGUUGCUGAUUUGAGUGAAUGUAAUAUCGCAGUCAAGCUGAUGAGGGACUGUAGUAUUAGAUUCAAGCUCAUUGCACCUCUAGCUGCUGUCACUGGUCGCAAUGCUUUUAGACAAGCCUAUGUGGAUUUCCUAAGGGUUUUGCGUGGUGUGAAUCAAGCAGACACUCCAGUCUUGGCUGAUCUCUUCCAGAUGCUCACUCCUCCGGAGGAUCAUUUGGACUCGAUUCUCUGGAGGCAAGCUGAGGAUUUCGUAACAGCUCCACGAUCUGUUCUUUUCCAUCCAUUUCAGUGGUAUGGAGAAGGGAUUUGCAGUUUUUUCACCUUGUAAGCAAAAUACUAGAGUUUGUGUGAUGGUUACAAUGGUAAUUAUUAUCAGAAUUGUGAAGGGGCAGUGCGGCAGUUUUUGGUUGACAUGGAUAGUAUUGACCGUACGGGAGCUGGUGGCAAUUUGGACUGGAGUCAAACUAUUCAAGCUGAAUCAGCUGAUGUAUGGGAGAUGAUUGAUGCUGGGUAUACUGCACGUCAGCGUACUAGUCCACUACACUUGAUCAGGCUUAUUAGGAAUAAGUAUGAGCAUAUUGAAGACAUAAACAGAUUAGUAUACCAACAUAAAUUAGGAUACCAACAUACAUAAACAGAUUUCUAUUUUAUCCAUGAUUUACACUUGGAAACUCACUUCUUGCUCACAUGGUAAAAGCUUUGGACAUAUAAGUAUAAAUGUAUCUCAAAUUCUGCUCCAAAAGUUAUCAGAAAGAAGUUCUUGAGGAGACUGCAGAUACAUAUUGGUGUUUCUUCGACUCUCUGUUUCCGCGCCUGUUGAUUGACUCAUAUAGGGUAGUGCAAAAACACUACCGUACGCUGGGAAGUGUUUUUAGGGGCUACUCGCAUGUUGACAGUAUGAAGGAGUAUAUUGGUUGGGGCAAGUUCUGAAAGUGCCAGAAUGGAAGAAGCUCUAAAGUAUGCCAUUUAAGUGUGCCAGGAAGAAAUAGUUUAAUAGUUGAUUAGAACCUGCUAUUUACUCUUCCUUGUUUGUUUUUUGUUACUUGUUGCACACAUGAUUUAUGGUAUCCAUUAUCCACUCACUGGACUGUCAUUUUGCAGCGCACAAUUUUAGAAUGGUUGUUUUCGUAAAAUAUU